rnacentral:rRNA from 1 species
UUGUACACACCGCCCGUCGCACCUACCGAUUGAAUGUUUCGGUGAAGAUUCCGGACUGUGGCUCGCGUGCUUCACGGCGCUCUUGCCGUGGGAAGUUAUCUAAACCUCAACAUUUAGAGGAAGGUGAAGUCGUAACAAGGUUUCCGUAGGUGAACCUGCGGAAGGAUCAUUA